CAGGCUUAGCUGGGGAGUAACACUCGGUGGUGCAAGCAAUGGACUUGGAGAGUUUGCAUGGGGCCGAGUUGCAAAGGGCGGGUUUAUAGGAUGAGGUGGUGAAGUCUUUCUCGCAAUUGACCCAGAGGAACUCAGCGCCGAGAUCAACUACUAGUUUUACAGGCACGAGAGGUGUUCUUUGUUUGAUUUCUGUAAUGUAUUGGAGAGUUGACGGAUCUUUAUAGACGGAGAGAAUGAGGCCUUUAGGGCGAGUUGAGGAUUUGGCUGUUGAUGAAGUGAUGAAGUGGAUAGUACAAAUGAGAAAGAAAUGAAUCAAGUUUGUUAAAGGAGAAGCCAUUGUGAUAUGCAGUUUAAGUGGUGGAAGCUGUAAUUUAAACUAUAAAGUUCGCGUUUGAAAUGGGUCAAGAAAGGAUCCCGAGCUGAAAAUAAUGAGUUAUUUGAAAUUCUCUAUCGAUAUGCAAAUGUGAAAAUUGCAUGUUUAAAUUCAUAAUUUCGUAUUCCUUUCCCAUGGAUAAUUCUCGUGUACUUUUACAGAGAGGCAAAUGCAACUUGCAAAGACUCUGACAGAGAGCCCAGCUGAUUAAAUUCUCGUGUCUCACUCUCAGCACCAGACCAACUAGUCAUUUUCUUACAUGAAUUUUGGGAAAGCAUUUAAAAUGUCCACUUGACUCAACGGAGUGAACGAGCAGGGCGGGUAAGGCAAUCAAGACUAACGUCUAGCACACUAUUAUUUCAGGGACGCCAAAAUAUAUGGAAUAUAUAAUGAUAAUCUAUAUAUUUAUAUAUUUACAUUUAUAUAAAUUGAUUGUGUUAAGAUGAAUGUCAUUGUAUAUUGCUUUGAAUGUUUGUAAAAAAUUUCAUUUACGAUCUUGUAAAAUAGGGACAUCAUCUUUAAAAAUCGUCUAAGACAAUUUAUUGUUAUCCAUCCUUAAAAUCAUCUAUGAAAUUGUAAUUCAUGAAACUCUUUUUAAAAAUUAAUGAAAUUAUAAUCAAUUUUUAUAUGUCUAAAGUUAUAUAACUACUGUAUCACAACAGCAAGCACUAAAGGGGCGUUUGUUUGAUGGUUAAUGAGGCCGGUUAACGGGAAUCAGAACCUAAUACCCAUACAUUGUGUUUGGAUUAGUAAAAUUUUUGCUUGAGAACCUCAUUCCCUUUUGAAGGGUAAAUCAAUACCUCCACACCCCUUAGGUUACCAUUUCCCAUACCCUCCAUUCCCAUACCCCAUUCCCAUUCCUCAUUCCUAUUCCCACCAAUCAUCCAAACACCCCCUAAAUCGUUUGAAAAUCUGAAUUUCAGUUGAAAUUCUAAAUGUAAACGCUUUUCGUUUGACCGUAAAGCUAUUAAGACGCUGUUGGCUGGUAGGGGUGCUUCUUCCAUGGCCGCUCGUGCACCUGAAACUGGAGAAAAAGUGGUUGAGGUGAGCUCUCGUGCUCUGGAGGUGCAUGAGGUGCCUGAUUUGUCCGGGAUCAGUGUGGAAGGUACUGAAGUUGUUGUGAAAGAACGUGACAGAAAGCAUCACAAGAAAGAUGGUGAGGCUCAUUCUCGCCAUAUAUCACUCUAGCAAGAAGCUGAGGGAGUCCACUGUUCCUCCUGCUCAUGGUGUUUCGACUGCUGCUGGGACCUCGAAGAAGUCAGAGUUUUUACGCCUUAAGGCUCAGCUGGAUCAGGCUCGUCUGCAGUCAAGUAUCCUAGCAGGCUGUUGUCAUUUUCUUGCAUUUUUCUUUUAUCUGUACUGACAAAAGAUAAUUUUAUGUACCUAUAAGAAAAUUACACAUGAUUAUUUGAUUUAUAGACCAUAGUAAGAUACUUAUACCUUCCAUUUUUUAACAAUGUUUUUACCACUUUGACACGUGUUUUAAAAUACACUUUCUUUUAUAAGUUUUUGACUUGUUUUUGGAAUUUUCCUUUUCUAAAUAAAAUUUUGAACAUUAAAUAUUUAUUCAAAAAUUAAAUAUAAAAAUGUUAAGAUUAGAAACUAGUAUCCAAGUAAAUAAUAACGAAAAACUCUCUCUGUUUUUUAUUAUUUGACGUUUUGACUUUUGGCACACAUUCUCAGGUGAGUUGACCGGAUAGUAAAAAUUAUUAUUUUUGAUUAAUUUUUUAUGAAUUAAAAUUUUGAUUAUAUAUUUUUAUUCAAAAAAAAAAUUUAAAAAAUAAUAUUUUAACUACUCGGUCAAAAGAACUUAAAAGUAUGUGCGCAAAGUCAAAUCAUCAAAUAUUAAAAAACAGAAUACUAGCUAAGACUAAUUAUUUAAUAUUUGCAUGAAAAACAAAUUCGAGGCAUAAUUAAUGACGAAAAUCUUAGUCAAAAUAAAGACAAGCAUCUACUCAUAAAAUCGAUCAGCCGUUCAUUCGUCGAAGAAAAAGAUAAAAUAAAGAUCUUUCUUAUAGAAAAAUCGGGAACGUGACAUGUCACAUGGACAUGUUCUAGCUAGUCUGGAACAUCUCACGACUUACUAACUCUCAACUCAUGCUUUUGCUGCAAAUUUGAAGUUGGCACAUAUUUGUUUCCGGUACACAAGCGGGCUGAAUCCCAGCUGCGAAGCCUUCAAAUCAAUCUCCAGUAGAUUCUCCUCAACUUGAUGCCCUCCGAUCACUAUCGAAGUUCUCGAAUCCACUCCUCCAUCCACGAACCCUAAACACGACACAUCCUUGCUCACUUGAACCAUCGAGUUCGCGCCAUAAAUCCUCCAGUAAACAUCCUUGCUCUGCAGAACUAGAUCAAUGGUCGGCACGGCUGGACCCGAGUACGCGGUGCCAAUUUUCUUCGAGUCGAAACAAGCCCCGAAUGGCGCCACAGACCGAACUCUCGGCACAUUCAAUUCUUUCACGAAUGCGUGCUCCACGGCUUUGUAGAUUGAAGCUUCGAGCACUGUGUACUUGUCCACAGUGCUGAUCUUGGUCCCGCCGUGGCCAGUGUCGUUUUUGAUCGACAGCAAUGCUGGAUUUACAUGUACGGCCUUUCCGUUGAUAUGGAUUGCGGUGACUCCGAUGAAGUACUCGGCGGAAGGUUCUUUUGUGGAGGACAGGCUUACUGGGUUGGUGAGAAGUGGGGUGUGAGUAAGAGGCGCGGUUGAAGAAUCAAACUCGCCGAAAAAUAUGCUGCCUUUGGAUGGAGUCGAACUCAAGCACACGCCGAACUUUCGUCUCAAGCCGAAUGCGGAAAAGAAUUGUGAAGGCAUUGAGAUCUUUGCCCUUCCGAGGCCUGUCAUGCCAGUGACGCCGCUUGCGAGCUUGUCUAACAGUAUUGUUGAACCGCAAACAAAGAGGAAGUUGGGGACAGUGACGGAUCCAGCUCCAGAUUGAACCUCGAUAGCAUCGGACCCUAGGGACCCGCUUGUUUGUAUGGGAGCGAUGGUGUUUUCGGGGAAUAAGGCGCAUGUGUUAUUGGUGCAACCAGGUUUCGCUGCGGAGUAGCACUCGGUGGUGCAAGCAAUGGACUUGGAGAGUUUGCAUGGGGCCGAGUUGCAAAGGGCGGGUUUAUAGGAUGAGGUGGUGAAGUCUUUCUCGCAAUUGACCCAGAGGAACUCAGCGCCGAGAUCAACUGCUAGUUUAACAGGCACAAGUGGUGUUCUUUGUUUGAUUUCUGUGAUGUAUUGGUGAGUU
rnacentral:lncRNA from 1 species